rnacentral:rRNA from 1 species
UGGCGGCGUGCCUAACACAUGCAAGUCGAACGAGAAAGUGGAGCAAUCCAUGAGUACAGUGGCGUACGGGUGAGUAACACGUGACUAACCUACCCUCGAGUGGGGAAUAACUUCGGGAAACCGAGGCUAAUACCGCAUAACAUCUACGGAUCAAAUGCGCAAGCAGCUUGAGGAGGGGGUCGCGGCUGAUUAUCUAGUUGGCGGGGUAACGGCCCACCAAGGCAAUGAUCAGUAGCCGGCCUGAGAGGGCGCACGGCCACACUGGAACUGAAACACGGUCCAGACUCCUACGGGAGGCAGCAGUGGGGAAUUUUGCGCAAUGGGGGAAACCCUGACGCAGCAACGCCGCGUGGAGGAUGAAGCCCCUUGGGGUGUAAACUCCUUUCGAUCGGGACGAUUAUGACGGUACCGGAUGAAGAAGCACCGGCUAACUCUGUGCCAGCAGCCGCGGUAAUACAGAGGGUGCAAGCGUUGUUCGGAAUUAUUGGGCGUANAGGGUGCG